CGCCACAUAUUCCACAUCUUUCUGCUGGUGGCGCGUGAACUGGUGGGGCCUCUGCCUGGUUCAUCUUGAGGUGCUGAACUUGCCUCAUCAAAUCUGCUACUUGCUUCUGAAGCUCAUUGUUGGGAGCUACUGCAUUGGCUUCAACCCUCCUUCCUCUGACUGAUUUCUGUUGAGAACUCGCUGCAAGUGUGUUGAAGAUCUCCUUGAGCUCAUCAGCUGUCUUCCGGGCAAUGUUGCCCCCUGCUG
rnacentral:lncRNA from 1 species